rnacentral:rRNA from 1 species
CGGUACGAACUGAUGGGCGACGUUAGUAGGUCGGACGGGUCGGAGGUAACGACGUGAGUAACCUAGCCUGGAGUGGGAAGUAACAAGCUGGUAAACAAGCUGCUAAUACCGUCAUAAUAAUGUCUGUGUCGCGAUGGCACUGGACAUCAAAGAUUUAUCGCUCUGAGAUGGACUCGCGUCUGAUUAGCUAGUUGCGGGGUAACGGCCGACCCAAGGCGACGAUCAGUAGCCGGACUGAGAGGUUGGCCGGCCACAUUGGGACUGAGACACGGCCCAGACUCCUACGGGAGGCAGCAGUGGGGAAUAUUGGGCAAUGGGCGCAAGCCUGACCCAGCAACGCCGCGUGAAGGAAGAAGGCUUCCGGGUUGUAAACUUCUUUUCUCAGGGACGAAGCAAGUGACGGUACCUGAGGAAUAAGCCACGGCUAACUACGUG